GACUCCCGAUCAACCACCUAACAUUGACCUAUGGAAGAAAAUUGGUGAUGUAAAUGCUCUUCCUCUACCAAUGGCUUGCUCACUUACUCAUCUUUCAAAUGGUCAAAAAUAUCAUUUUAUAGUAAGAGCUGUUGAUGUUUACACUCGUGUUGGGCCAUUUAGCACACCGGAAAGCAUAAUAUUAUAAAUGAAUUCACAUGUUUGACAUUAAGAAGCUAAUCUCCUACCAUAAUGUUUUUUACUUCAUGAGGUUAUUAGAUAUUUGGCUUAUUUCCAUGCUAAAUAACUUAAUAAUUGUUUAAGCUUUACAAAUGAUUAUUAUUUUUUUAUUUUUGUAAUCCACUCAUAGUGUGUUAAUUUUUCUUUAAAACUAUUAUUUUUUGGAAAUAAGUUUAAAAAAAUAUAAUAGGACAUCCACUAUUAUAAUUGAUUUAUUUAAAAUUUUAUUUUAAGAUACACAGUCAAUACAAAUUGUAGUGAUAUGUUUUGAUAUGUAACUAUUAUUAAUUUAAUUUAAGCCAAUUUAAAUGGCUGCAACGUUCAACAUGAACACACGCACG